rnacentral:lncRNA from 14 species
UACAGGAUCAACAGCCUACACAGCCAUGGAUGACCCAGGCUCAUUGAAUUUUGGCAUCGGACUGCAAGAGCAGAUGAAUCCUUCCCUAUGAAGCUGUGGUAUUAUCUAACAAGACUUUUAAGAUACGAUGGAUGGGGACUGCAUCACAGCCACCCACUCCUGCCUGUGACAAGGAAGAGUUUAGCCCACUUCCACUGAAAAGGGCAAACAGUGACAGCAGCUGUCUGUUGGGACAAGAUGAUAAUGAAGUGCGAAUAACAAGUCUCCCUUUCACGUAGAUAUUAUGCAGAUUAUUCUUAUUUGGUAACACUCGGAGUUACAGAGAAACUCAAACACAUGCUGCUUGGUUAAGUAAACUAUGAAAGACUACGGGAACCCAAAGGCACUGUAAAAACUAAAAGCUCAACCUCAUUACCAGAUGGAAUUCAAAAUUCUGCAAAGCUGGUGAAUGUAGGCUGGAGAAAACAAAAGACAGCAAUGCUAUCUAUGACACAAGAAGAAAAAUAGGAAACUCAGCAGAGGGUUUAAAGAUGUCUGUGGAGAGAACAGGCCAUCCCAAGCCAUUGAUGGAAGCCAAACACUUGGAGCACAAAUGAAACGUGACUGGACAUGGGUUUCUCUUAGUCAAGCAUCCUGGGAGCCUAGAACCGCAAGUUCUCACUGCAUCCCAGAGCAGGGCUGGAACUGCCAUUAUGGACCAAACUGUGUAUCGCCAACAGGAUCACACUCACACAGAACUGUUGUUCAGCUACACAGCUGCACUGAAGAAACUAAUGUUCUCUUGUUUAGUCGUACUCCAACUGUCUUUACUCAUGGAGAGCAAUGGAAAGUCUCCAACAGUGAGAAUGAUGCUGUUAUAUCACGUGAGGGACAAGGACGACAAGAAAAGCCAGGCAGAGAGUGCAUCCUUCUUGAAGCUGUGAGGAGCCACAUCUCUCUACAUUACUGUACUAAGGUGCGUGGCAAGAGAAGAAAAUGGGCCAACAACAGAUCUCCCAUAAGCCCUCCAUUUCUUGCUGAAUUCCAUCUGCACAAUGACACAAGAGGUACUGACGUCCAGUGGCUAUUUCAUCCACUGGUCCUGCAAGUUCUGCAGACAGCUUUUCUAUUACUGUCUCUGCUAGAGAACGACCUCUCUUCUUCACAUCAUCUGAUCCAUUCCUGUUUUUCCAUUCAGGGGAUGGUCUAGAAGCUAUACAAAAUCACUGAGAUUCGGG